AACGAACGCUGGCGGCAUGCCUAACACAUGCAAGUCGAACGAACCCUUCGGGGUUAGUGGCGCACGUGUGCGUAACGCGGGGGAAUCUGCCCUUUGCUUCGGAAUACCUCAGGGAAACUUGUGCUAAUACCGGAUGAUGUCUUCGGACCAAAGAUUUAUCGGCAUGGGAUGAGCCCGCGUAGGAUUGGGUAGUUGGUGGGGUAAUGGCCUGCCAAGGCGACGAUCCUUAGCUGGUCUGAGAGGAUGACCAGCCACAAUGGGACUGAGACACGGCCCAGACCGCUAGGCGAGGGUGGAGUGUGGAGUACUGUGCGAUGGGGGCAAGCGUGACCAAGCAGCGCGGGGGAUGUGAUGAAUGCGGUCGGGUCGUAAAGCUGUUUUACCAGGGGUGUUAAUGACAGUACCGGGUGAAUAAGCUCCGGCUAACUCCGUG
rnacentral:rRNA from 1 species